rnacentral:rRNA from 1 species
CGCGUAGGCGGUCUGUUGCGUCAGGUGUGAAAGCCCCGGGCUCAACCUGGGAGGUGCACUUGAUACGGGCGGACUGGAAUCCGAGAGAGGAUGGUGGAAUUCCCAGUGUAGAGGUGAAAUUCGUAGAUAUUGGGAAGAACACCGAUGGCGAAGGCAGCCAUCUGGCUCGGUAUUGACGCUGAGGCGCGAAAGCGUGGGGAGCAAACAGGAUUAGAUACCCUGGUAGUCC